rnacentral:rRNA from 1 species
AUUUCCCACACUUUCGGGUGUGGGGCUCGCGUCCACUUUGUGGUUCCCGACAGACGAUCGGGAACAUGAAACUGAAUACCGCUACACCCGCAUUCUUUGGGGUGUCAGCCGGGACAGCUUUCGGAUCCGUUCGGGUCGAAGGUGUUCCGGUGGUCAUAGCGAGAGGGAAACGCCCGGUCACAUUCCGAACCCGGAAGCUAAGCCUCUCAGCGCCGAUGGUACUGCAAGGGGGACCUUGUGGGAGAGUAGGACGCCGCCGGAC